rnacentral:rRNA from 1 species
GUCUCAAAGAUUAAGCCAUGCAUGUCUAAGUAUAAAUCAUUCAUACAGGUGAAACUGCGAAUGGCUCAUUAAAUCAGUUAUAGUUUAUUUGAUAGUACAAUUACUACUUGGAUAACCGUGGUAAUUCUAGAGCUAAUACAUGCUAAAAGUCUCGACUUCUGGAAGGGACGUAUUUAUUAGAUAAAAACCAAUAA